GCCUCAGUGGCGGAAUUGGCAUACGCAGCAGUUUGAGGGGCUGUGUCUUCGGACGUGUGGGUUCAAGUCCCACCUGAGGCA
rnacentral:tRNA from 1 species